rnacentral:rRNA from 1 species
UUGNUCCUGGCUCAGAUUGAACGCUGGCGGCAUGCCUUACACAUGCAAGUCGAACGGCAGCACGGGGGCAACCCUGGUGGCGAGUGGCGAACGGGUGAGUAACAUAUCGGAACGUGCCCUGGAGUGGGGGAUAACUAGUCGAAAGAUUAGCUAAUACCGCAUACGAUCUACGGAUGAAAGUGGGGGAUCGCAAGACCUCAUGCUCGUGGAGCGGCCGAUAUCUGAUUAGCUAGUUGGUGGGGUAAAGGCCUACCAAGGCAUCGAUCAGUAGCUGGUCUGAGAGGACGACCAGCCACACUGGGACUGAGACACGGCCCAGACUCCUACGGGAGGCAGCAGUGGGGAAUUUUGGACAAUGGGCGCAAGCCUGAUCCAGCAAUGCCGCGUGAGUGAAGAAGGCCUUCGGGUUGUAAAGCUCUUUUGUCAGGGAAGAAACGGUGNGAGGUUAAUACCUUCUGCUAAUGACGGUACCUGAAGAAUAAGCACCGGCUAACUACGUGCCAGCAGCCGCGGUAAUACGUAGGGUGCAAGCGUUAAUCGGAAUUACUGGGCGUAAAGCGUGCGCAGGCGGUUGUGCAAGACAGAUGUGAAAUCCCCGG